rnacentral:rRNA from 2 species
UUAGCGGCGGACGGGUGAGUAACACGUGGGUAACCUACCUAUAAGACUGGGAUAACUCCGGGAAACCGGGGCUAAUACCGGAUAAUAUAUUGAACCGCAUGGUUCAAUGUUGAAAGACGGUUUCGGCUGUCACUUAUAGAUGGACCCGCGCCGUAUUAGCUAGUUGGUAAGGUAACGGCUUACCAAGGCAACGAUACGUAGCCGACCUGAGAGGGUGAUCGGCCACACUGGAACUGAGACACGGUCCAGACUCCUACGGGAGGCAGCAGUAGGGAAUCUUCCGCAAUGGGCGAAAGCCUGACGGAGCAACGCCGCGUGAGUGAUGAAGGUCUUAGGAUCGUAAAACUCUGUUGUUAGGGAAGAACAAAUUUGUUAGUAACUGAACAAGUCUUGACGGUACCUAACCAGAAAGCCACGGCUAACUACGUGCCAGCAGCCGCGGUAAUACGUAGGUGGCAAGCGUUAUCCGGAAUUAUUGGGCGUAAAGCGCGCGUAGGCGGUUUCUUAAGUCUGAUGUGAAAGCCCACGGCUCAACCGUGGAGGGUCAUUGGAAACUGGGGAACUUGAGUGCAGAAGAGGAGAGUGGAAUUCCAUGUGUAGCGGUGAAAUGCGCAGAGAUAUGGAGGAACACCAGUGGCGAAGGCGGCUCUCUGGUCUGUAACUGACGCUGAUGUGCGAAAGCGUGGGGAUCAAACAGGAUUAGAUACCCUGGUAGUCCACGCCGUAAACGAUGAGUGCUAAGUGUUA